AUCCAGACUGCUCAGAGGUGGUUCAUGUGCCUGGGUCAGAAAGGCCAUUCAAAUUGGCAGAAUAUAAAAAGGAAAUAGGAAAGGCAUAUUCCAGGAUCACUUUUUUCAUUUGCCUAGAAAAACACUAUAAAAGAGUGGAUGAUACCUCAGACUCUGAUUCUGAAAUUGUCAUCACAACAAGGAGCACAGCUGAACUAAAUCGUGCUGACACUUUGGUUUUUGAACCACAAAAUCGAAGUACUCCCAAACACAAGCUGGACGAUGAAAGAGAUGCACCAGGACAAUCAACAAUUCAGCCUGGACAGAUAGUAAUAUCUGAUGCUGAGA